rnacentral:rRNA from 1 species
GACAGAGGUGCCGAGCGUUAGGCGGAAUCACUGGGCUUAAAGCGUGUGUAGGCGGACCGUUAAGUACCUUGUGAAAUCCUGCGGCUCAACCGCAGAACGGCUGGGUAUACUGGCGGUCUUGGGCCACCUAGGGGCAGAUGGAACAAGUGGUGGAGCGGUGAAAUGCGUAGAGAUCCGGAGGAACACCAGUGGCGAAGGCGACGUCCUGGGCUUGACCUGACGCUGAGACGCGACAGCACGGGGAGCGAACGGG